UACGGAGGGGGCUAGCGUUGUUCGGAAUUACUGGGCGUAAAGCGCACGUAGGCGGCUUUGUAAGUUAGAGGUGAAAGCCCGGGGCUCAACUCCGGAACUGCCUUUAAGACUGCAUCGCUAGAAUUGUGGAGAGGUAAGUGGAAUUCCGAGUGUAGAGGUGAAAUUCGUAGAUAUUCGGAAGAACACCAGUGGCGAAGGCGACUUACUGGACACAUAUUGACGCUGAGGUGCGAAAGCGUGGGGAUCAAACAGG
rnacentral:rRNA from 1 species